GAUGAACGCUGACAGAAUGCUUAACACAUGCAAGUCAACUUGAAUUUGGGUUUUUAACUUAGGUUUGGGUGGCGGACGGGUGAGUAACGCGUAAAGAACUUGCCUCACAGCUAGGGACAACAUUUGGAAACGAAUGCUAAUACCUAAUAUUAUGAUAAUAGGGCAUCCUAUAAUUAUGAAAGCUAUAAGCGCUGUGAGAGAGCUUUGCGUCCCAUUAGCUAGUUGGAGAGGUAACGGCUCACCAAGGCGAUGAUGGGUAGCCGGCCUGAGAGGGUGAUCGGCCACAAGGGGACUGAGACACGGCCCUUACUCCUACGGGAAGCAGCAGUGGGGAAUAUUGGACAAUGGACCAAGAGUCUGAUCCAGCAAUUCUGUGUGCACGAUGAAGUUUUUCGGAAUGUAAAGUGCUUUCAGUUGGGAAGAAAGAAAUGACGGUACCAACAGAAGAAGUGACGGCUAAAUACGU
rnacentral:rRNA from 1 species